rnacentral:rRNA from 1 species
CUGGGAAACUGCCCGAUGGAGGGGGAUAACUACUGGAAACGGUAGCUAAUACCGCAUAACAGUUUAUGCCGCAUGGCAUAAGAGUGAAAGGCGCUUUCGGGUGUCGCUGAUGGAUGGACCCGCGGUGCAUUAGCUAGUUGGUGAGGUAACGGCUCACCAAGGCCACGAUGCAUAGCCGACCUGAGAGGGUGAUCGGCCACACUGGGACUGAGACACGGCCCAG